rnacentral:rRNA from 1 species
UACGUAGGGUGCAAGCGUUGUCCGGAAUUAUUGGGCGUAAAGGGCUCGUAGGCGGUCCGUCGCGUCGGGAGUGAAAACUCGGAGCUUAACUCCGAGCCUGCUUCCGAUACGGGCAGACUAGAGGCAGGUAGGGGAGAACGGAAUUCCCGGUGUAGCGGUGAAAUGCGCAGAUAUCGGGAGGAACACCGGUGGCGAAGGCGGUUCUCUGGGCCUGUACUGACGCUGAGGAGCGAAAGCGUGGGGAGCAAACAGG